rnacentral:sRNA from 1 species
CCGGGAAGUCCUCGUGUUGCAUCCCU